rnacentral:rRNA from 1 species
AACGAACGCUGGCAGCGUGGAUGAGGCAUGCAAGUCGAACGGUCUUCAGCUAGUGGCAAUAUUGGCUGAUGAUAGUGGCGGAAGGGCGAGUAAUGCGAGAGCAAGCUACCCCUCGGACCGGGACAACGUCUGGAAACGGACGCUAAUACCGGAUUCGAAGCGGAACCGAAUGGUUCCGUCUUGAAAGGCGGGGACCCGCAAUGGCCCGCCGCCGAAGGGGGCGCUCCCGUGCCAUCAGCUAGUUGGUGAGGUAAUGGCUCACCAAGGCUUAAGGCUAGGUGGACUGAGAGGUUGGUCACCCGCACUGGGACUGAGACACUGCCCAGACUCCUACGGGAGGCAGCAGUAGGGAAUCUUCCGCAAUGGGCGAAAGCCUGACGGAGCAACGCCGCGUGAGUGAUGAAGGUCUUCGGAUCGUAAAACUCUGUUGUUAGGGAAGAACAAAUUUGUUAGUAACUGAACAAGUCUUGACGGUACCUAACCAGAAAGCCACGGCUAACUCCGUGCCAGCAGCCGCGGUAA